rnacentral:rRNA from 1 species
AACCCGGCCCAGAUUCUUCGGGAGGCAGCAGUAGGGAUUUUCCGCAAUGACGAAAUUUGACGGAGCAACGCCGCGUGAUGAUGAAGUUUUCGGAUCGUAAAGCUCUGUUGUUAGGGAAGAACAAGUGCGAGAGUAACUGCUCGCACCUUGACGGUACCUAACCAGAAAGCCACGGCUAACUACGUGCCAGCAGCCGCGGUAAUACGUAGGUGGCAAGCGUUGUCCGGAAUUAUUGGGCGUAAAGGGCUCGCAGGCGGUUUCUUAAGUCUGAUGUGAAAGCCCCCGGCUCAACCGGGGAGGGUCAUUGGAAACUGGGAAACUUGAGUGCAGAAGAGGAGAGUGGAAUUCCACGUGUAGCGGUGAAAUGCGUAGAGAUGUGGAGGAACACCAGUGGCGAAGGCGACUCUCUGGUCUGUAACUGACGCUGAGGAGCGAAAGCGUGGGGAGCGAACAGGAUUAGAUACCCUGGUAGUCCACGCCGUAAACGAUGAGUGCUAAGUGUUAGGGGGUUUCCGCCCCUUAGUGCUGCAGCUAACGCAUUAAGCACUCCGCCUGGGGAGUACGGUCGCAAGACUGAAACUCAAAGGAAUUGACGGGGGCCCGCACAAGCGGUGGAGCAUGUGGUUUAAUUCGAAGCAACGCGAAGAACCUUACCAGGUCUUGACAUCCUCUGACAACCCUAGAGAUAGGGCUUUCCCUUCGGGGACAGAGUGACAGGUGGUGCAUGGUUGUCGUCAGCUCGUGUCGUGAGAUGUUGGGUUAAGUCCCGCAACGAGCGCAACCCUUGAUCUUAGUUGCCAGCAUUCAGUUGGGCACUCUAAGGUGACUGCCGGUGACAAACCGGAGGAAGGUGGGGAUGACGUCAAAUCAUCAUGCCCCUUAUGACCUGGGCUACACACGUGCUACAAUGGACAGAACAAAGGGCUGCAAGACCGCAAGGUUUAGCCAAUCCCAUAAAUCUGUUCUCAGUUCGGAUCGCAGUCUGCAACUCGACUGCGUGAAGCUGGAAUCGCUAGUAAUCGCGGAUCAGCAUGCCGCGGUGAAUACGUUCCCGGGCCUUGUACACACCGCCCGUCACACCACGAGAGUUUGCAACACCCGAAGUCGGUGAGGUAACCUUUAUGGAGCCAGCCGCCGAAGGGUAACAUGGCGUGU